rnacentral:rRNA from 1 species
CCUACGGGUGGCAGCAGUGGGGAAUAUUGCACAAUGGGGGAAACCCUGAUGCAGCGACGCCGCGUGAGUGAAGAAGUAUUUCGGUAUGUAAACUUCUAUCAGCAGGGAAGAAAAUGACGGUACCUGACUAAGAAGCCCCGGCUAACUACGUGCCAGCAGCCGCGGUAAUACGUAGGGGGCAAGCGUUAUCCGGAUUUACUGGGUGUAAAGGGGGCGUAGGCGGUAGCGCAAGUCAGAAGUGAAAUCCCGGGGCUCAACUAUGGGACUGCUUUGGAAACUGUUGAGCUGGAUUGCAGGAGAGGUAAGUGGAAUUCCUAGUGUAGCGGUGAAAUGCGUAGAUAUUAGGAGGAACACCAGUGGCGAAGGCGGCUUACUGGACUGUAAAUGACGUUGAGGCUCGAAAGCGUGGGGAGCAAACAGGAUUAGAUACCCGUGUAGUC